rnacentral:tRNA from 1 species
GGGCCUGUAGCUCAGGGGUCAGUAGCAGAGAACUCAUAAUUCUUUGGUCGCAGGUUCAAAUCCUGCCAGGCCCACCA